AUUGAACGCUGGCGGCAGGCCUAACACAUGCAAGUCGAGCGGAUGAAGGGAGCUUGCUCCUGGAUUCAGCGGCGGACGGGUGAGUAAUGCCUAGGAAUCUGACUGGUAGUGGGGGAUAACGUCCGGAAACGGGCGCUAAUACCGCAUACGUCCUGAGGGAGAAAGUGGGGGAUCUUCGGACCUCACGCUAUCAGAUGAGCCUAGGUCGGAUUAGCUAGUUGGUGGGGUAAAGGCCUACCAAGGCGACGAUCCGUAACUGGUCUGAGAGGAUGAUCAGUCACACUGGAACUGAGACACGGUCCAGACUCCUACGGGAGGCAGCAGUGGGGAAUAUUGGACAAUGGGCGAAAGCCUGAUCCAGCCAUGCCGCGUGUGUGAAGAAGGUCUUCGGAUUGUAAAGCACUUUAAGUUGGGAGGAAAGGCAGUAAGUUAAUACCUUGCUGUUUUGACGUUACCAACAGAAUAAGCACCGGCUAACUUCGUG
rnacentral:rRNA from 1 species